GCUUCGGUGGUGUAGUGGUAGCACGCAACCCCGACAUGGAUGAAACGCGGGUCCGACUCCCGUCUGAGGUU